UGGGGAAUAUUGGACAAUGGGGGAAACCCUGAUCCAGCAAUGCCGCGUGAGUGAAGAAGGCCUUAGGGUUGUAAAGCUCUUUCGCCCGCGAAGACAAUGACGGUAGCGGGAGAAGAAGCCCCGGCUAACUCCGUGCCAGCAGCCGCGGUAAUACGGAGGGGGCUAGCGUUGUUCGGAAUUACUGGGCGUAAAGCGUACGUAGGCGGAUGCGCAAGUUGGGGGUGAAAUCCCGGGGCUUAACCUCGGAAUUGCCCUCAAAACUGCACGUCUUGAGACCGAGAGAGGUAAGGGGAAUUCCUAGUGUAGAGGUGAAAUUCGUAGAUAUUAGGAAGAACACCAGUGGCGAAGGCGCCUUACUGACUCGGUACUGACGCUGAGGUACGAAAGCGUGGGGAGCAAACA
rnacentral:rRNA from 1 species